GUGACGAGUGGCGGACGGGUGAGUAAUGUCUGGGAAACUGCCCGAUGGAGGGGGAUAACUACUGGAAACGGUAGCUAAUACCGCAUAACGUCGCAAGACCAAAGAGGGGGACCUUCGGGCCUCUUGCCAUCGGAUGUGCCCAGAUGGGAUUAGCUAGUAGGUGGGGUAACGGCUCACCUAGGCGACGAUCCCUAGCUGGUCUGAGAGGAUGACCAGCCACACUGGAACUGAGACACGGUCCAGACUCCUACGGGAGGCAGCAGUGGGGAAUAUUGCACAAUGGGCGCAAGCCUGAUGCAGCCAUGUCGCGUGUAUGAAGAAGGCCUUCGGGUUGUAAAGUACUUUCAGCGAGGAGGAAGGCGUUGUGGUUAAUAACCGCAGCGAUUGACGUUACUCGCAGAAGAAGCACCGGCUAACUCCGUGCCAGCAGCCGCGGUAAUACGGAGGGUGCAAGCGUUAAUCGGAAUUACUGGGCGUAAAGCGCACGCAGGCGGUCUGUCAAGUCGGAUGUGAAAUCCCCGGGCUCAACCUGGGAACUGCAUCCGAAACUGGCAGGCUAGAGUCUUGUAGAGGGGGGUAGAAUUCCAGGUGUAGCGGUGAAAUGCGUAGAGAUCUGGAGGAAUACCGGUGGCGAAGGCGGCCCCCUGGACAAAGACUGACGCUCAGGUGCGAAAGCGUGGGGAGCAAACAGGAUUAGAUA
rnacentral:rRNA from 1 species